rnacentral:rRNA from 1 species
UACAGAGGUCUCAAGCGUUGUUCGGAUUCAUUGGGCGUAAAGGGCGCGUAGGCGGCUUUGCAAGUGACGGGUGAAAUCCCUCGGCUUAACCGAGGAACUGCCUGUCAGACUGCAUGGCUUGAGACCAGGAGAGGUGAGUGGAAUUCCCAGUGUAGCGGUGAAAUGCGUAGAUAUUGGGAGGAACACCAGUGGCGAAGGCGGCUCACUGGACUGGUACUGACGCUGAGGCGCGAAAGCGUGGGGAGCAAACAGG